rnacentral:misc_RNA from 1 species
AUCUCUCCUUGCAAGUACACAAUAUUGGGCUCCGAUGACUGAAGCACUCGCUGGAAUUCAUCAGUGCCUGGAUUAGUCAGUGACUGGACCUCAAGACGCCCAGAAGAAGCAAGUUCAGGAAAAGGGUAUCUGGGUUUAUCACCAGAGGGAGGCUGCUUCUGCUUACUAUCAGGGGUUUUGCUAGAGAGGACUGCAAGGAGACUGCAAUGAUUC